rnacentral:rRNA from 1 species
GCUUGGUGCUUGCACCGAGCGGAUGAGUUGCGAACGGGUGAGUAACGCGUAGGUAACCUGCCUCUUAGCGGGGGAUAACUAUUGGAAACGAUAGCUAAUACCGCAUAAAAGUCGACAUCGCAUGAUGUUGACUUGAAAGGUGCAACUGCAUCACUAAGAGAUGGACCUGCGUUGUAUUAGCUAGUUGGUGAGGUAACGGCUCACCAAGGCGACGAUACAUAGCCGACCUGAGAGGGUGAUCGGCCACACUGGGACUGAGACACGGCCCAGACUCCUACGGGAGGCAGCAGUAGGGAAUCUUCGGCAAUGGGGGCAACCCUGACCGAGCAACGCCGCGUGAGUGAAGAAGGUUUUCGGAUCGUAAAGCUCUGUUGUAAGAGAAGAACGAGUGUGAGAGUGGAAAGUUCACACUGUGACGGUAACUUACCAGAAAGGGACGGCUAACUACGUGCCAGCAGCCGCGGUAAUACGUAGGUCCCGAGCGUUAUCCGGAUUUAUUGGGCGUAAAGCGAGCGCAGGCGGUUAGAUAAGUCUGAAGUUAAAGGCUGUGGCUUAACCAUAGUACGCUUUGGAAACUGUUUAACUUGAGUGCAGAAGGGGAGAGUGGAAUUCCAUGUGUAGCGGUGAAAUGCGUAGAUAUAUGGAGGAACACCGGUGGCGAAAGCGGCUCUC